rnacentral:rRNA from 1 species
GAUGAACGCUGGCGGCGUGCCUAAUACAUGCAAGUCGAGCGAACAGACGAGGAGCUUGCUCCUCUGACGUUAGCGGCGGACGGGUGAGUCACACGUGGAUAACCUACCUAUAAGACUGGGAUAACUUCGGGAAACCUGAGCUAAUACCGGAUAAUAUAUUGAACCGCAUGGUUCAAUAGUGAAAGACGGUUUUGCUGUCACUUAUAGCUGGCUCCGCGCCGCAUUAGCUAGUUGGUAAGGUAACGGCUUACCAAGGCAACGAUGCGUAGCCGACCUGAGAGGGUGGACGGCCACACUGGAACUGAGACACGGUCCAGACUCCUACGGUAGGCAGCAGUAGGGAAUCUUCCGCAAUGGGCGAAAGCCUGACGGAGCAACGCCGCGUGAGUGAUGAAGGUCUUCGGAUCGUAAAACUCUGUUAUUAGGGAAGAACAAAUGUGUAAGUAACUAUGCACGUCUUGACGGUACCUAAUCAGAAAGCCACGGCUAACUACGUG